GACCCCAUGCCGAACUCAGAAGUGAAACGCUGUAGCGCCGAUGGUAGUGUGGGGUCUCCCCAUGCGAGAGUAGGGAACUGCCAGGC
rnacentral:rRNA from 1 species